rnacentral:rRNA from 1 species
UACAGAGGGGGCAAGCGUUAUUCGGAAUUAUUGGGCGUAAAGGGCGCGUAGGCGGCCUGGCAAGUGGAAGGUGAAAUCCCUCGGCUUAACCGAGGAACUGCCCUCCAAACUGCUUGGCUUGAGUCCGGGAGAGGUGAGUGGAAUUCCCAGUGUAGCGGUGAAAUGCGUAGAUAUUGGGAGGAACACCAGUGGCGAAGGCGGCUCACUGGCCCGAUACUGACGCUGAGGCACGAAAGCGUGGGGAGCAAACAGG